rnacentral:rRNA from 1 species
AGUGAACGCUGGCGGUAGGCCUAACACAUGCAAGUCGAACGGCAGCACAGUAAUAGCUUGCUCUUACGGGUGGCGAGUGGCGGACGGGUGAGGAAUACAUCGGAAUCUACUUUUUCGUGGGGGAUAACGUAGGGAAACUUACGCUAAUACCGCAUACGACCUACGGGUGAAAGCAGGGGAUCUUCGGACCUUGCGCGAUUGAAUGAUCCGAUGUCGGAUUAGCUAGUUGGCGGGGUAAAGGCCCACCAAGGCGACGAUCCGUAGCUGGUCUGAGAGGAUGAUCAGCCACACUGGAACUGAGACACGGUCCAGACUCCUACGGGAGGCAGCAGUGGGGAAUAUUGGACAAUGGGCGCAAGCCUGAUCCAGCCAUACCGCGUGGGUGAAGAAGGCCUUCGGGUUGUAAAGCCCUUUUGUUGGGAAAGAAAAGCAGCAGGUUAAUACCCCGCUGUUCUGACGGUACCCAAAGAAUAAGCACCGGCUAACUUCGUG